rnacentral:snRNA from 1 species
UACCACUAACCUCCUGCUU